CAUUUCCCUCCAUACCCAACAAAGCGGGACUCUUCUUUGCCUACCUUUCUCGUGUUUAUUCGCUUCUUUUCGUUUCCGCUCGGACAUUUCCGUCCCUGCCCGGUCGAGCGGGGCUCUUUUUUCUUGUCGACUCUUCUCGUGUUUACUCGGCUAUUUCCGGUUCCGCUCGGGCAAUUCCGACUCCGCUCGGCCUCCGGAGCGGCAGCAGCGGCAGAAGCCUCCGCAGUAUGGAAGAGCCUCAGAGGGUGCAGGAGGUGAGCGCUCCCCCUGGCCCAGAUCUCCCUAGAGACCCUGAUCCCGAGGAGACCAUCCGCAACCUGCAGAUCCAGUUGGCAGCUGCAUUGGCAGAGGUAGAAACUGUCCGGGCUGUUGCUGCUGUGAGCGAAAGCACCAAACAUGAGGCCGUGGAGGCUGUUCGGCGCCACUGCCAAGAAGAAGUAGCUUCACUGCAAACUAUUCUGAAAGACACCAUCUCUAGUUACGAGGCACGUCUCUCAGCCCUAGAGCGUGACAGCCGAGAGAAUGUAUGGAGUCGCCUCCUGCCAAGGAGCAACCCAUUGGACUCCUUGGAGAAACAGAUGGAAAAGGCACAGGAAGACACAGAGCGGCUCCGGGCCAUUGUGCUGCCAAUGGAGCAGGAAAUCGACGAACUGAAGGGGAAGCUGGCCCGGGCGGAGGGGCUGGUUCAGGAGCUGCAGGGUGAGCAGGGCUGCAUUUUCAGCUCAUCUGAAUCCCUGCUCCCUGACCCAGUCCCCCCUGACGGGCCAGGAGAUGACCAUGUUACUCUGGGGGAAGGAGGAGUGGCUGAGAAAUUUGCCUCUGGCCUUGACAGUGUCUCCAUCGCCUCUUCUUCCUUGCUGGUACCAAGCCCUGGGCCCCCAAUCCGGCGCAGACGUUCCCCCAGCCCUGAGACUGUAUCCAUUGCCUCCUCUAGUGGGACCCUGGUGCCGGAGACAAUCUACCUACCGCCAGCCGGGUACCAGCUGGUGCCUGACUCAGAAUGGAUGCAGCUUCACAACGUGGUGCGGCAGCAACGGGAGGCUGUGGAGAAGGCAUCUCAGGAAAAAGCCAGCCUGGAGGAGGUUCUGAAGCGCAGCAGCGAGGACUGCAGCAAGCAGGUCCGGGUUCUUUUUUCUCAGGUCCAAAACUCUGAGGAGCUUCUCCGGGCCCUCCAAAGCUCGGUCAGCAAGAGCCAGCGACAGACUCAGGAGCAGAUGGCUGACCUCGCUGCAUCCCACAAGCGUCUGAGCUAUGAAGUGCAACGCCUCAAUGCUGAAAAUGAGGGGUUGCGUGCAGCCUCUUCCCGAGAGCCCGAUGACAAAAGCCGGCACUCGCCCAACCCCAUCCAGGACCUGCAGAGCCAGGUCAGCCAGCAAAGACUGGAGGCUGAAUCGCAGCUUCGGUUUGCGGAGCACCAGGCUGAGCGUCUGCGGAUAGAGAUCAUGUCCCUGCGGGAGCAGCUAGACCAAGAGAUAGCAGCCCGGUUGGAACUGCAGGGGGUGCUGGAGAAAGAGAGAGAAGAAAAAGGUAGGGGUUCCUCGGGAUUGAAAAAUCAAUUUAAGGGUUCUUCCAUGGAAAAAAGGUUGGGAUCACUGAACUAGAGGAAUGGGAAUGGAUUCCUGGACUCGGGAGGUGUUGGGACUCAAAAAUCCAGCAAUCUCAAGGUUUAAUGCCGCAGUGGAAUCUAGCAAUGGCAAUAGUUCUAGGUGGGUAGCUGUGUUGGUCUGCAGUAGAACAGCAGGAUUUGAGUCUAGUGUCACCUUAGAGACCAACAUGAUUUUCAGGGGGUGAGCUUUCAAGAAUCACUUCUGAAGAAGGGAGCUCUGACUCUCAAAAGCGUACACCCUGAAAAUCUUGUUGGUCUCCAAGGUGCCACUGGACUAAAACCUAGCCAUGUCAAAUAUCCUUCCACUGCCAUGCACGUGACUAACUGCCUUCUCUUUCCCCCUUCCUGCCCCACUUCUGGCUGGAAGAACUCUUGCAAGCUUCCUUUAACAGCAUUGAGAGUGAAAUGGAGAGACUGCAGCAAGGACAAGAGGAGGGGAAUGGCAGCC